rnacentral:rRNA from 1 species
GAAAGUAAUAAAGGGCGUAUGGGGGAUGCCUAGGCUCUUGGAGGCGAAGAAAGACGUGGUAAGCUGCGAUAAGCCUCGGGGAUUUGCAAACGAGAAUUGAUCCGAGGAUUUCUGAAUGGGACAACCCGGCAGGCAGAAGGCCUGUCACACGAAAGUGGGCCAACCCUCUGAACUGAAACAUCUUAGUAGGAGGAGGAAAAGAAAGAAACAUCGAUUUCCUAAGUAGCGGCGAGCGAACGGGAAACAGCCUAAACCACAAUUGUUACGGCAACUGUGGGGUUGUAGGACUGCAAUAUUCAAAUGACUGUGAACUGGAAUGUUCUGGAAAGUUCAUCCAUAGAGAGUGAAAGACUCGUACAGGCAAGCACGUCAGGCGAUAGCAGUAUCCUGAGUAGGGCGGGACACGAGGAAUCCUGUCUGAAUCCGCCGGGACCACCCGGUAAGGCUAAAUACUCCCAAGAGACCGAUAGUGAACCAGUACCGUGAGGGAAAGGUGAAAAGAACCCCGAACAGGGGAGUGAAAUAGAACCUGAAACCAUACGCUUACAACCUGUCGGAGCGGCUUCGUGCCGUGACGGCGUGCCUAUUGAAUAAUGAGCCUACGAGUUACUAAUCACUGGCAAGGUUAAGUGCACGGAUGCACGGAGCCGAAGCGAAAGCGAGUCUGAAUAGGGCGUUUAGUCAGUGGUUGUAGACGCGAAACCUUGCGAUCUACCCUUGAGCAGGUUGAAGGUUGGGUAAAACCAACUGGAGGACCGAACGAAUAAGCGUUGAAAAGCUUCUCGAUGACUUGAGGGUAGGGGUGAAAGGCUAAUCAAGCUGGGAAAUAGCUCGUACUCCCCGAAAUGCCUUUUGGGGCAGCGUUGUAAUAAAGAGUCUACUGGAGGUAGAGCUACUGAUUGGAUGCGGGGGCUUCACCGCCUACCAAAUCCUGACAAACUCCGAAUGCCAGUAGUAUGAUUUACAGCAGUGAGUGACUGGGUGCUAAUGUCCAGUCGCAAAAGAGGAACAACUCAGACCAGCAACUAAGGUCCCGAAGAAUAUGCUAAGUUGAUCUAACGAUGUUUUGUUGCAGAGACAGCUAGGAUGUUAGCUUGGAAGCAGCUAUUCAUUCAAAGAGUGCGUAACAGCUCACUAGUCGAGCGACAGAGCGUGGAUAAUAAACGGGCAUCAAGCAUAUCACCGAAGUUCUGGGCGCGAGAGCGCGGUAGGGGAGCAUUCCAUUCAGCGUCGAAGCAGUUUCGUGAGGAAUUGUGGAGCGUAUGGAAAAGCAAAUGUAGGCAUGAGUAACGAUAAUGCGGGAGAGUAACCCGCACACCGCAAGACCAAGGUUUCCUGAUCAACGCUAAUCGGAUCAGGGUUAGUCGGGUCCUAAGGGUAAGCCGAACGGCGAUCUCGAUGGAUAAUCGGUUAAUAUUCCGAUACUAACAUAUACCUCGAUGGAGAGACGAAGGAACGUAAGUGCCGCCACCUGACGGAAUAGGUGGUUAAAGGGCGUAGGUAUAGGGGCAGAUUAAGAGUUAGUCCUUGCUGAAACCUGACAGUACAGAGAGCCUACGGGCAAUUUGAUAGAGCACCCAAGUCGACUUCCGAGAAAAUCUUCUAAGUUAUAGUAUAUGUUACCCGUACCGUAAACCGACACAGGUGGUCGAGGAGAGUAUCCUAAGGUGCUCGAGUGAAUCACGGUUAAGGAACUAGGCAAAUUAACCCCGUAACUUCGGGAAAAGGGGUCCCUAUGAAAGUAGGGCGCAGCGAAGAGGUCCAGGCGACUGUUUAUCAAAAACACAGGGCUCUGCAAAUUCGAAAGAAGACGUAUAGGGCCUGACACCUGCCCGGUGCUGGAAGGUUAAGAGGGGAUGUCAUCGCAAGAGAAGCAUUGAAUCGAAGCCCCAGUAAACGGCGGCCGUAACUAUAACGGUCCUAAGGUAGCGAAAUUCCUUGUCGGGUAAGUUCCGACCUG